rnacentral:rRNA from 1 species
GACGUAGGGCGCGAGCGUUGUCCGGAUUUAUUGGGCGUAAAGAGCUCGUAGGCGGUUUGUCGCGUCGACUGUGAAAGCCCGGGGCUCAACUCCGGGUCUGCAGUCGAUACGGGCAGACUAGAGUUCGGUAGGGGAGACUGGAAUUCCUGGUGUAGCGGUGAAAUGCGCAGAUAUCAGGAGGAACACCGGUGGCGAAGGCGGGUCUCUGGGCCGAUACUGACGCUGAGGAGCGAAAGCGUGGGGAGCGAACAGG